rnacentral:rRNA from 1 species
UACGUAGGGGGCAAGCGUUGUCCGGAUUUAUUGGGCGUAAAGAGCGUGUAGGCGGCCAGGUAGGUCAGCUGUGAAAACUCGAGGCUCAACCUCGAGCUGUCGGUGGAAACUUUCUGGCUAGAGUCCGGAAGAGGAGAAUGGAAUUCCUGGUGUAGCGGUGAAAUGCGCAGAUAUCAGGAAGAACACCCGUGGCGAAGGCGGUUCUCUGGGACGGUACUGACGCUGAGACGCGAAAGCGUGGGGAGCGAACAGG